rnacentral:lncRNA from 1 species
AUACUUAACGCCGUCCGGAUCUGACACGUCGGCGCGGACGGUUAUGGCUCGUGGAGUGGCUUGGUUUGCGUUGAUAUGUGCGGCGACUGAGUCGGCAAGGUCUGAGUUGGAGGUGUAGUUGAUGACGAACUCGUGGAGUGGCUUGGUUUGCGUUGAUAUGUGCGGCGACUGAGUCGGCAAGGUCUGAGUUGGAGGUGUAGUUGAUGACGAGUUUGGCGCCGAGUGAAGCUAGGUGAAGUGCGAUGUCUUUCCCGAUCCCGCGGGAGGAGCCGGUGACGAUUGCCACUCUAUCAUGAAGCGGUGCUGAUUGGGGAAGUGAAGUAGCCAUGGCGAUUUAUGUGAUGAAUGAAUAUUGUGCAAUAGGGAUCGUAUUUAUACUGAAUUUUUUUAUUGAGAUUAGGCGAGAUGGAUCUGAUAAACAUUGUUAAAUAUAGAUGAUGCAAUUCACUCUUUGGUCAAAAGACUGCGAAAGAUUUUUUUUUGUAAUGAAUAAAAUUGCGUAAGCUCACAUGUCAUCUACUCUAACAGUCAUCAUAAAUGAGAGAAGGAGACUAUUUUUU